GAUGAGAACGUAGCGAAAUGCGAUACGUAGUGUGAAUUGCAGAAUUCAGUGAAUCAUCGAAUCUUUGAACGCACAUUGCGCCCUUUGGUAUUCCAAAGGGCAUGCCUGUUCGAGCGUCAUUUGUACCCUCAAGCUUUGCUUGGUGUUGGGCGUCUUGUCUCCAGUCCGCUGGAGACUCGCCUUAAAGUCAUUGGCAGCCGGCCUACUGGUUUCGGAGCGCAGCACAAGUCGCACUCUUUUCCAGCCAAGGUCAGUGUCCAACAAGCCUUUUUUCAACUUUUGACCUCGGAUCAGGUAGGGAUACCCGCUGAACUUAAGCAUAUCAAUAAGCGGAGGA
rnacentral:misc_RNA from 1 species